UUGAGGUGACGAUAAAAAUUUCACAUGUCUGUCAAUCCUCUGAAAUUUUGUGAUGUUAUUGUGUUAUCUCGACAGGUUCUGAUCGA
rfam:Arabis alpina cultivar Pajares chromosome 4, whole genome shotgun sequence.